rnacentral:rRNA from 1 species
AUUGAACGCUGGCGGCAGGCCUAACACAUGCAAGUCGAACGAGUGGCGGACGGGUGAGUAAUGUCUGGGAAACUGACCGACGGAGGGGGAUAACUACUGGAAACAGUAGCUAAUACCGCAUACCAUCGGAGGUGCCCAGCUGGGAUUAGCUAGGAGGUGGGGUAACGGCUCACCUAGGCGACGAUCCCUAGCUGGUCUGAGCGGAGGACCGGCCAAACUGGAACUGUGACACGGUCCAGAAUCCGACGGGAGGCAGCAGUGGGGAAUAUUGCACAAUGGGCUCAAGCCUGAUGCAGCCAUGCCGCGUGUAUGAAGAAGGCCUUCGGGUUGUAAAGUACUUUCAGAGAGGAGGCGUUACUCGCAGAAGAAGCACCGGCUAACUCCGUGCCAGCAGCCGCGGUAAUAC